rnacentral:rRNA from 1 species
AGCAUAUCAAUAAGCGGAGGAAAAGAAACUAACAAGGAUUCCCCUAGUAACGGCGAGUGAAGCGGGAAGAGCUCAAAUUUAAAAUCUGGCAGUGUAUUCUGUCCGAGUUGUAGUCUAGAGAAGCAUCAUCCGUGCUGGACCAUGUACAAGUCUCUUGGAACAGAGCGUCAUAGAGGGUGAGAAUCCCGUCCUUGACAUGGACUCCCAGUACUUUGUGUUGUGCUCUCAACGAGUCGAGUUGUUUGGGAAUGCAGCUCAAAAUGGGUGGUAAAUUCCAUCUAAAGCUAAAUAUUGGCGAGAGACCGAUAGCGAACAAGUACCGUGAGGGAAAGAUGAAAAGCACUUUGGAGAGAGAGUUAAACAGUACGUGAAAUUGUUGAAAUGGAAACGCUUGAAGUCAGUCGCGUUGUCUGGGAUUCAGCCUUGCUUUUGCUUGGUGCAUUUCCUGGUCUACGGGCCAGCAUGAGUUUCGACCAAUGGAAAAAGGCUUGGGGAAUGUGGGACUUCGGGUGUGUUAUAGCCCUUUGUCACAUACGUUGGUUGGGAUUGAGGUCUUAGUGCACGCUUCGGUUGUGCUUUGAUGCUGGCGUAAUGGCUUUAAACGACCCGUCUUGAAACACGGACCAAGGAGUCUAACAUGUCUGCAAGUGUUUGGGUGCAAAACCCGAGCGCGCAAAUGAAAGUGAUAGUUGGGAACCUCAUUAGAGGGGCACCGACGCCCGGACCAGACCUUCUGUGACGGAUCCGAGGUAGAGCAUAUAUGUUGGGACCCGAAAGAUGGUGAACUAUGCCUGCAUAGGGUCAAGCCAGAGGAAACUCUGGUGGAGGCUCGUAGCGAUUCUGACGUGCAAAUCGAUCGUCAAAUGUGGGUAUAGGGGCGAAAGACUAAUCGAACCAU